UGCAAGUCGAGCGGUAGCACAGAGAGCUUGCUCUCGGGUGACGAGCGGCGGACGGGUGAGUAAUGUCUGGGAAACUGCCUGAUGGAGGGGGAUAACUACUGGAAACGGUAGCUAAUACCGCAUAACGUCGCAAGACCAAAGUGGGGGACCUUCGGGCCUCAUGCCAUCAGAUGUGCCCAGAUGGGAUUAGCUAGUAGGUGGGGUAACGGCUCACCUAGGCGACGAUCCCUAGCUGGUCUGAGAGGAUGACCAGCCACACUGGAACUGAGACACGGUCCAGACUCCUACGGGAGGCAGCAGUGGGGAAUAUUGCACAAUGGGCGCAAGCCUGAUGCAGCCAUGCCGCGUGUGUGAAGAAGGCCUUCGGGUUGUAAAGCACUUUCAGCGGGGAGGAAGGCGGUGAGGUUAAUAACCUUGGCGAUUGACGUUACCCGCAGAAGAAGCACCGGCUAACUCCGUGCCAGCAGCCGCGGUAAUACGGAGGGUGCAAGCGUUAAUCGGAAUUACUGGGCGUAAAGCGCACGCAGGCGGUCUGUCAAGUCGGAUGUGAAAUCCCCGGGCUCAACCUGGGAACUGCAUUCGAAACUGGCAGGCUAGAGUCUUGUAGAGGGGGGUAUAGAUUUCCAGGUGUAGCGGUGAAAUGCGUAGAGAUCUGGAGGAAUACCGGUGGCGAAGGCGGCCCCCUGGACAAAGACUGACGCUCAGGUGCGAAAGCGUGGGGAGCAAACAGGAUUAGAUACCCUGGUAGUCCACGCCGUAAACGAUGUCGAUUUGGAGGUUGUGCCCUUGAGGCGUGGCUUCCGGAGCUAACGCGUUAAAUCGACCGCCUGGGGAGUACGGCCGCAAGGUUAAAACUCAAAUGAAUUGACGGGGGCCCGCACAAGCGGUGGAGCAUGUGGUUUAAUUCGAUGCAACGCGAAGAACCUUACCUGGUCUUGACAUCCACAGAACUUUGCAGAGAUGGAUUGGUGCCUUCGGGAACUGUGAGACAGGUGCUGCAUGGCUGUCGUCAGCUCGUGUUGUGAAAUGUUGGGUUAAGUCCCGCAACGAGCGCAACCCUUAUCCUUUGUUGCCAGCGGUUAGGCCGGGAACUCAAAGGAGACUGCCAGUGAUAAACUGGAGGAAGGUGGGGAUGACGUCAAGUCAUCAUGGCCCUUACGACCAGGGCUACACACGUGCUACAAUGGCAUAUACAAAGAGAAGCGACCUCGCGAGAGCAAGCGGACCUCAUAAAGUAUGUCGUAGUCCGGAUUGGAGUCUGCAACUCGACUCCAUGAAGUCGGAAUCGCUAGUAAUCGUAGAUCAGAAUGCUACGGUGAAUACGUUCCCGGGCCUUGUACACACCGCCCGUCACACCAUGGGAGUGGGUUGCAAAAGAAGUAGGUAGCUUAACCUUCGGGAGGGCGCUUACC
rnacentral:rRNA from 1 species